AGGGUAGGACUGCUAGUCCAAGACCUGAUGGCCAAGGAAUUCCUUUUCCAGGGACAAGUCAAGUGGCUGAGCUCUCACCCCUCUUGAGGUCACAAGCAGGAGGUUCACCCCUUUGUCCAGAAAUGGGAGUACAUCCAUACACACAUCAAGGGAGAAGAAAACCAUCAGUACUUCACAGGACUGAGACACAUGUGCAGAGCAAGUAUGUAAGAGCCAGCCAGGAGCUCCAGCCAGAAAUGCUGGCUGUAUCUUGUUAGCCUCAGCAAGAGCUUGGAUGUCAGACCUUGAGUGCCAAGCCUAUGGACCCAGUGGCUUUGCUGGGAAGACUGACUUCUGUGUGGUCCUGUUCCACCUAUCCUGUUGUAUCUGUACUUCACUCAGAGAGGCAGCUGUCCGUGAUAACAGAUCUUCCUAAUGUCACGGGUCACAUCACCAGGAAAGUGGGAAGGCUCAGGAUGACAAACUGAAAGUAAUCUGUCACUGUCAAAUCCAUAGGAUCAAAGGAAAAACAAACUGUAUCUGUUUUGGCAAAUGGUGAAGGGACAAGGAAAAGCACAGGCUGUUAGGUUAAUGUAGACAGACAGGACUGACCUCUACAAUCUAGAGUAGUUUAUGUUGCUGCAGCAUUUUGCAUGCAGAAAUUGCUUUUGUCAGGGAACCUCCAAGCACUUUGCAGACGAUGUAAUUAAGAGCUGCAAUGCUCCUGGAAGGUUACGGUCACCCUGCAACACAGUGACCCUAGGAGAGGUGGUAGGUGACUCGGGUAGAUACCCAAGACGUAACUUCAAGUGUUUUGGUCACCAACAGACAUAAGGGUAACAAUGACAUGGACACACCAACAACACUGAUGAUAGUGAGCGCCUGACCACCCAUCUCAGGGCUAUGAGUGCACAAUUCAGAACUGAGGGGAGGAAUGUUCAACACUGGUACAGAAGUCUGGAGCAGGACAAUCUCUGUCUCAGGGGAUCUACAGAGAAGUAUUUCCAGGGAUGCUGCAAGUGUUCAGUAAAGCCAUGGGGUCUACAAGGUCUCUCUACAAGGAUGGUCUGCAGGGGAAGGCUGGAAUCAUUACGGCCAGAGGAGGAUAUGCUUAUGAAGACUGAAUAUCCUAUUUCAGAAUCUGCCACCAGAAGUGCUGACACUGCCUGCUGAUUUCUGUGCUCUGGGCAUAGGACGUGCCUUGGGCAAGGACUCUUUCUGUGCCAUAUUUCCCAAAAACCUGCCUCUGAGAAAUACACAGGCAGGAGUGUAUGGAAGCAUUACUGAGCACCCCCAUGCAACAGCAAGGCCAGCGUGUUUUUGGUUGCAGUCUGGACUAAAUGCAUGUGGCAGGAUGAAAGACAACAUCUGAAAGUCACAAAAGACGGCAAGUUGAUGUCUUGUUUUCAUAAAACCUUUUUUUUUUUUUUUUUUUUUUUUCCAGCACAACUGCCCUCAGGUGUAGCAGCGCCCAGUACCAGCAAUGCUAUUCAGUGUGAGCCAUUUCCUUUAGGAAAAGUGUGUGUGAGAAUUCAGAUUAUUUUUUUUGCCUAGCACAGCUGCUGCUUGUGCUGCAAAACCAGAGCCACAGCUGAUGACAAGGUAGUGCGGAGCAUGACACCUCUGCUGGUGCCACUCCAGCAACACCAAGCCCUGCAGCCAGGCUGAGGCACCCCAUACACUUCUUAAUUGUCGAUAACGUGCAACUGGGACAACCUAAACCCUAGCUGAGUGAAUGCAGUAAGUUAUGCUGGAGUGUUGGGGUAGACCUUUUUGGUCCAGGUGGCUGCACAAAGCCCUGCAAAAGGCAGUUCCCACUGUGCAAUUCAUGAGCACCCAUGGAUCUCUGUGCCCAUAUCACCCCCAAAAUAAUCCAUCAGCCCCGAAGGUUUUAAAGGCAGUUUGUGCCAGAAUAGCUCUAACAGCAUAGGGGUGAUCAUCUCAUGCUUCUGCUCAACACGCAGCGUUGGAGUCCGUAAGCCGCGGUGGCUCAGUGGGGAGGUGAGCGCUGCAGCCACAUUUCACCCUGAGAAACCUCAGCAAGGCAAAUGGGAGGUGUCAGAGAAGAUGUCCAGCAGGUGGGCACACUCAAGUCACAAGUGACUGGUCAUGGUGGUGAUAAUGGCCUCCUUACAGUGGCCUCUCGCCUCAUGACAGUACCUUUGGAAGAUAAUAGUUUUUCAAUAACUUACCUGUGUAACUUAAACACCAGUGUAAUUCAGAGUGAAUGGCUUCGAGCCUUACAAAAAAUCCUUUGAAAGAAUGAAAAGGUGUUAACAUUUCCAACCUGAAAGUAUUUGUUUACAGUGCAGCAAAAAUAAUAAUAUAUUUAAAAAAGAAAAAAAAAAAAAAAAAAAGAAAAAAAAAAAAAGAAAAGAGGUGAAAAAGACCACACAGGGAAUAAAGAUCUCCCUGUUUAUUCA
rnacentral:lncRNA from 1 species